rnacentral:rRNA from 1 species
CAAGCGUGCGUGCCACCUCUUUGGCGUUGCGCGAACGGGUCUCGACACGGGCACGGCGGCGAUACUUACAAGGCGGCGUGGAGGUCGACGGGCGUAAAAUGAUCAGGAGGAGGUUGGGGAGGGGGAGGGGUAGGAGGGUCGCCGACGCCGCUUCCGCUGUUCCUCGGCGGCUCCGCUGGCAACGGGGCAACAGCGGAGGUCGAUGGGGGUGGGUGGACGGGCGGGCGUGCGGUGCGUCGGCGGCGGGCGGCCGGUGGCCUAAGCGGCGAGGGGGGAAAGGGAAAGUCCCCGACCUAAGUCGGCCCGCAGCCGCCGACAAGAACCGCGGCAGCGCGGCGCCGAGCCUCAAGCGGUCUCCCGUUGCGACGCAAGAAACGGCCUAAACUGGGCCCCUUAAGCGACGGAAAAUUUUCAGGGUCGUGGCCGGACCUAAUCUAAACCAGUCUCCGCUGAGACUGCGCUCCCCUUAAGAACGGCAAAGAACUAGAGUCGGCCCAGUCCCCUGAGGCUGACCGAUGGGCUUGCACUCCUUCCGCUCCUCCAGGAGAUGAGAUGAGAUCAGGAGGGACGGUGUUGGUUAAGCGCAACGAAGUCGGGUCAGACUAGUUCCAGGUUCCCUCAGGUCAAGAACCUUGACGGCAGCAUCGUUUCUCCCGCCUGUCAACCUCAACGUCAACACGGCAGAGUGGUGUAAACCUAGUUUUUCGAAGCCCCCGGAAGACUCCCUCCUCCUCUUCCUACCCCUAGUACAGCGCCGCCCACGACGGCCGCACGUCGUCGGAGACGAUGAAGACGGGGAGCGACGCCCGCUCCAGUGCCGUCGGGCAGUUCGCGAUGUUCUUCUAGUAGAGCCUCUAGAUGGUCGACGGGCGCCUACCUCUUGGCUUACUGUCUUCCUAGCCCUUUGAGACGCUAAUGCAGAGCUCUUUAGGUUGGGCGUAUGGUUUCUAGUGUCUCAUAGAACUCGUCUCUACGAUAUUUCUUGACUCUGUACUAUUAAAGUGGGACCGGUUUCAACAAGGUACGUAUAUAUCCUUUGAAGACGCAAGUACGUUCCUCGUAUGUGGUAACGACCGGUGUUCGUGUAACACAUAACAAGCGUGAGAAGAUCUAGUCUUUAGUUCACUACUAAACGUCUAGGACCCGACAGAUAACGAACAACUGAAAGAGCUACCUGUCCAACUGUCGUGCGUAUACAAGUCAAAUCUUCCGUACUAUGGUUUUGAUACGUUUUAACGAGUUCUUGAUUCCCUUCUACUGUUUCCCUAGGCGGAAGCUAGACGACGUGAGGUUCGAGAACGAAGUUACCAGCUUAUGUACCCACUGGUGAGCGUAUAGAGUUACCUUGAACUACUUCAACAGAGUCACUAUUAUUCGACAAUACUCCGAUUAGUUUGAGAGAGUUAUUUUCUCCAGCAGUCUAAAGUUCUACUACUACUAAACUGUUACAACCGUCAUAGACCCGUUUUAUUACGGUUUCACCGUCGACUAUGUUACCGACGUAGACUCUUAGGUCGUGUGACCCGUUCCCAAACGAACGCAUUGUACCGGUUAUAACGUUUCCUCCGUUGUUGUCACGCCGCAUAAGAACUAGGAGACAAAGCGGAAAAGCUAUCGGUGUUAAUGACCAGAGGACUUUCACCCCAAAGGGAAAGACAAGAUGUUCUUUACGUUUGUGACUACCUGUUUAGUCCCGUUUUACCGGUAAACGACGAUAGAAAAUGAUAUUUCGUGUAACUAGUAUUUUCACAACGGUUCUACGGGCGGUUCGUUUAUUCGUAACAUUUUCAACGAAGAGUAGAACGCUUCGUCCGUUUCAGCGUACGUAGCCAUUGUUAUCGCUCACGUUAGUCGCUAAAUCAUUUUGUGAACGCUUUUACAUACAUGGCACGACAACUUCGUAGUUUACGAGUUCGACUAUAACUGUUCACCUUGUCACUUGAAAUACACCGGAACCUCCUCACAGACCACGUUAACUGUCUCUUCCAACCCCUACAACCAGGAUAAGAACUGUACCAGUCACAUUACGAACUCUUAGAGAGCAUGUGACGGUUGUAGCGGUCCUGUUGUUACAGUAGACAAAUGGCGUGUCGUGUUUAUCGUCGAAUACACAUGUUCAGUAGUAUGUUGGUCUUUCGUAAAGGUCUUCGAAACAUAGUGGUCGAAGAGAAUCGUUACUACGUGGGUCUGUUAUUCUGUUCCUAACCGAGUGUGGCACAAAAUAGGUGGUAACAGCGCGGAAGCAACAAUACGGGUACCAGUCGGUAUCCAAAAGGACAGGGUUACUUCCAGUUACCCAGCGUCUCACACGAAAACAACCGUAACAGUCGAAAGAGAAGACUCUGGUAUUACCUACUUGACGUCAGAUUUUCAUCCUAGUUCCUUAGGAACGUCCUUUUGCUCUUUGGUCUUCGACACCAUUCACGACUCUUACCUAUACGUGUAUGUCUUGGUUUAUGUUCCGUCAGAAGUCCCUUGGGUAUAAAGUUGCUAGCAGAAAGGUGAAAAUUUCUAUUGAGUUUCAAUUACUUCAACUUGUUACCGGUUGAACAAGAAGAAGAAAGUAGAUAAACCUCAGUUCGUAGGGAGCUUCUAUUGAGUGGAAGUUUAAAACUCCGUUACCCGGUAUGAAUGUUACAACGAAAUAACACAAGCUUUCGUUUUUGGAGGUCAGUACACCGUGAUCAAGCUACAAAGGUCAACCGGAAAAGAGAGUCCUCCAACAGAGACUUGGUUCUAUUACAACACGUUGGUAGAGCCUCUUCCACAAACAUAUGUUACCGUAGUCGUUACGAAUAAAAAAGUCGUUUUCAACGACUAUAAGGAGUCUAUUGGGUAGAACAGUUUCGGCGUCACGGUCUCCUUUACCAACUAGGAGUAGAAACGGACUAACUACUGACGUCUGAGUGACAAUGAAGACGUGUUAGAAGCUUGUCACUUUACGAAAUGCCAAGACUCCUUCUACUUUCACUACGUGUUCAAAAAGAAAGUCGACAUUUAUUCCUGCUAUGUGUCAAUUUUCUGUUACACUAUAGGGUGAAGUUCUCUUUUAAACUUUUAAGUGGUCUCUUCAAACUACCCUAUCUUCUUGUCGAAGAAGUUCUCAAGAGGGAUCUACUAAGUAAAGGAGAACCACGAGGUGAUAAGUACCUCUGCGGUGUGAGAACAAGUUACAUGCGACUUUUCCUGCUAGUGACAAAACUACUCCUACAAUAAGGAACACUCUACCUACUACUGCUACUGUAGCAGAAACUUGUAUCACCUAGCGUCAGACUGUCCUUUUGUAGUCCUAGAUACCGAAGUAGGCUACAAGAUUUGCACUUAGUUGACUACCUUAGGCAGGUACUCUGUCGUUCCGUUCAACGAUUGUAAGGUCAGAGGUGGUUAGGACACAGGAUACUGGUUUACUUCUCGGUUACACUUAGGGAUCAUUACCUUUUCGUCGUCUUCUACAGACAAGAGUACUCGAAGUUCGUGAGUUCUUGGCUAAGCGCAUCGAGUUAGCCCCUUUUGCCUGGCCUUUGUUUACUCAGUAGACGAGUUAGACUUGGACUCAGUGUAAACUGUUCUUUCCUGAUGUACGCCGCGUUGCUAAGCUGUAGGUCGCUACUGGCGAGGAAGUCCAACGGUGGACGUUCGGGCAUGCUGUUCAAGAACUUCCGUCGACCUGCCAUCUAGGCACGUUACCACACCUUGGACUGUUUGACCAAAGGUUUAGACAUAUGUCUUGACAAACGUUUAAUUGUACAGAAAAUUCAACUAAGAAAGACGACAAAAAAACAAGAGAAAGACCCAAAAGAUAAGAAACUCACAUGUUUAAAAGCUGUUCCACAUGUUUAAAGACAAUGGCAACAUCCCAGGGUCUUAUUUACCUUUCACAUCACAGACUCACAUACAUGAAAAACGCCCGGUCUUUUCUUUUACUGGUGUAACAACAGUAUAUAAAAAACUACAAAAAUUAGACACGAAGAACAGACUAAA